rnacentral:rRNA from 1 species
UACGUAGGGUGCAAGCGUUGUCCGGAAUUAUUGGGCGUAAAGAGCUCGUAGGCGGUUUGUCGCGUCGAAUGUGAAAACCCGGGGCUCAACCCCGGGCCUGCAUUCGAUACGGGCAGACUAGAGUUCGGUAGGGGAGGUCUGGAAUUCCUGGUGUAGCGGUGAAAUGCGCAGAUAUCAGGAGGAACACCGGUGGCGAAGGCGGGACUCUGGGCCGAUACUGACGCUGAGGAGCGAAAGCGUGGGGAGCAAACAGG